rnacentral:rRNA from 1 species
AUUGAACGCUGGCGGAAUGCUUUACACAUGCAAGUCGAACGGCAGCACGGGGCAACCUGGUGGCGAGUGGCGAACGGGUGAGUAAUACAUCGGAACGUGCCCGAUCGUGGGGGAUAACGAAGCGAAAGCUUUGCUAAUACCGCAUACGAUCUACGGAUGAAAGCAGGGGACCGCAAGGCCUUGCGCGAACGGAGCGGCCGAUGGCAGAUUAGGUAGUUGGUGGGAUAAAAGCUUACCAAGCCGACGAUCUGUAGCUGGUCUGAGAGGACGACCAGCCACACUGGGACUGAGACACGGCCCAGACUCCUACGGGAGGCAGCAGUGGGGAAUUUUGGACAAUGGGCGAAAGCCUGAUCCAGCCAUGCCGCGUGCAGGAUGAAGGCCUUCGGGUUGUAAACUGCUUUUGUACGGAACGAAAAGACUCUGGUUAAUACCUGGAGUCCAUGACGGUACCGUAAGAAUAAGCACCGGCUAACUACGUGCCAGCAGCCGCGGUAAUA